UUCCCCGAAUGCAUCUAUGAUUANAGUUUGAUCAUGGCUCAGAGUGAACGCUGGCGGUANGCCUAACACAUCAAGUCGAACGGCAGCACAGUGAGAGCUUGCUCUCUGGGUGGCUGAGUGGCGGACGGGUGAGUGAAUACAUCGGAAUCUACUCUGUCGUGGGGGAUACACUGUAGAGGAAACUUACUGCUAAGUACGCUGCAUGUACUGAGCCUACGGGUGUUAGAAGAUGCAUGGGGAGUCUUUCGGGACGCUUUGGCGCGAGUUUGAAGUUGAAGCCGAGUUGUUCGGGGAGUUAGCUAGGUUUGUGCCUGGGG
rnacentral:rRNA from 1 species